AUGCAGAAGUGUGUGAGAAAUUAUCAGUGACAAAAAAAAAGAACUAAAUUGUCUGAAGAAAAAACUAAAACGAAUGGAGGAACACAGGUCCACAGUUCUACUUACAAGUCGAGCCAAACAGAGGAGAGAGAACCGCAAAAAGCAGUGUGAGAGAAGCCAAAGAAGAAAGAUGAGUGACAAUGUCAGACUGUUCCUAAACAGAGAUGAUGUGUCCACAUUAAUAAAUGGUAAAGCUGGGGAAGUCAGGAAGGGUGGACAAAUUUACAGGAAGAGGUUCCUCUCAGACACCAUGGGAAAUCUCCACAAGAGAUUUCUUAAAGAGAACCCAGGGCUCAAUGUGUCCCGCUCCCAGUUUUUUAAGCUGAAGCCCUUCUGGAUAGUGAGACCAAAGAUCACAGACAGAGAAACAUGUGCCUGCAAAAUUCAUGAGAAUUUUUCAAGUAAAGUUAAAAAAAUGCACCAUCUUGGAAUGAUGCAUACAUUAUCUGUUACUGAUGUAGUGGCUUCAUCCGUCUGUGAUUCAGAAAACAUUGAUUGCAUGUAUGGUAGAUGUGAAGCCUGCAAAGAUCUUACUUUCCCUGUCACCGUGGAUCCAACAACAAAAAACAACAUCAUAUCUUGGACUGAGUGGACAACAAGGUCAAGAACAGUAACAAACAAAACUGCAGGAUGGCACUACAACUGAGAUUGAUAUCAAAACCACAUCCCUGGAGAAGAAAGUAGCUAGUAUUGAAAAACUCGUAGAGCUAACAAAGUUGGAACUGCCACGGAUCUCUACUCAUUUGUACAACAUUUGGCACCAGUUCACUCGUCUCAAGAAACUGAAAGAAAAUUUGACCCAGCAUGAUGUUGUAGUCCAUGUUGAUUACAGUGAAAACUACACCUGCAAAUGGAGCAAGGAAAUAAAAGACACUCACUUUGGUGGAUCCCACCAGCAAGUCACACUCCAUACAGGGGUGUUAUACUACGCUCGUGGUCAAGCCGAAUCCUUUGCUACUGUGUCUGCCAGUUUACAGCACGAUGCUGUUGCUACAUGGGCACAUUUGCAACCAGUUUUAGAGUAUAUAACAUCUAACUACCCCCUGGCAAAAAAUAUCCACUUCCUUUCCGAUGGACCAACAUCUCAAUAUCGGAAUAAGGUAGCAUUCUACCUUACAUCCACAGUGCCUUUUAUGAAAGGUUUUAAGACUGUGACGUGGAACUUCACUGAGGCCUCUCAUGGGAAGGGAGCUCCUGAUGGAGUAGGAGGUGCUCUUAAAAAUCUCGCAGAUCGUAUGGUGGCCUAUGGCACAGACAUCCCAAAUGCUUCUGCUCUACUAGAGAAUCUGGCAAAGCACUCAUCUGUUAGGCUUUUUGAAGUAACAGAGGAUAAUAUUGCUGCGUAUGGGGAACUCGUUCCUCCAUUCCUGAAAUCAGUCCCAGGAACUAUGAAAGUACACCAGGUGAGCACCCACAUGUCCAACUAAACAAAUUCACACUUGCUAUUAUCUUGCUUGUCUUUUUUUUAACUUGAUUUCAUUUUUUUCUAUAAAUAUUUUUCUAUAUUUUUUGUUGUAAUUUUAAACAAAAUAUUUUUAUAUAGACCUGACCUUUUCAUGGUUUUGCAGAUAAAACUAAACAUAAUGGCUCCACAGGUCGUUGCUACUGAACCAGGAAAUAUUAGAUUUCGAGAGGUCUCGUGCUUCUGUAGUCACUCUUGUGACUGCUUCUCCCCAAAAGAGUUUGUUUUCACUCAAAAGGAAUCUGAAGAGACCAUCAAAGUAGGAACAUGGGUCCUUGUGGACUAUGAUGGAGACCUCUAUCCUGGCACAGUAACACAGAUUGCCAGCGGUCAGUAUGAGGUUGAUACAAUGAGCUGUGCAGGAGACAACCGCUUCUACAUCCCAUCAAUAAGAUUUGCUGGUGAGAAGGUGUGGUAUUAUUUGGAUUACAUCAAAGAAAUUAUUCCUGAACCACUGCCUACCUCUUCAUCCGCAAGACACUUCUGUGUGGUGUCAGAAAUCUGGGCCAAGUACAAAAAGAAAGUCCAAUGAAUUAUUAGCUUCAAUGGCAUAUUAAGGCAGUUGUAGAUAGAAACAAAAGGAUGGAAAAAAUAUCCACCAAAAAAUCUCAAAUUUUGUACAAUGUACAAGUAAAUUUCUAACUUUUGAAACUCAGAAAGUUCCAUAUUUGUUUCUCAAAAAUUUCUGAUUUUAAUCUCAAAACUUCAUCGGUUUUUGUAGGAAAUUUUUGACUUUUUGAACUCAAAACUCAGAAAUAUUCUGACAUUUAAAAAAUAUAUUUUUUUGGCAGAAAUUUACUCCUCUUUUUUCUUAUCUACAAUAGGCCUCUUACAUUGUCAUUUACCAGUGUUAAUGAGAAGGAUAAAAAAACUAGAAUAUUGGCUCUACUUCUGAAAUAUGUGAUUUCUUGUGUACUGGCAUUGUUUCCUGUUUAUCUGAGAGGGGUUUUCUAUUCUUCCUUUUCACACAGUGUUGUAUCACUAAUAAUUUGAUAGCACAAAGUUGAAAAAAACAAACCUGAAUUCAGGCAUUUCCCUGUUGUGUUUCCUGCUAUUUAGAAGUUCAAUAUCUUUUUUCUCUCUGUGCCUUUGUUCUGAUGACCUAUCACCUCCCUGUGCCUUGGUUGCUUUUGCAUUUACCCUAAAUCCAACUCAUUGUUUCCCAUUGUCGUUUGUGAAUUUGUUUUGCUUCAAACAAAUUCACAAAUAUGCGCAAAUUUAAACCGUGCAUUUAAAAUAGCACAAUUUUUAUGUUGCCAAUUUAUUUUAAAUGAAUAUUACUUCAGUUUGUACUCUUUCUGAACCACUGCCUACCUGUUUAUCAGCAAGACACUUCCGAUUCACUUCCGAAUCCUUAUAGCUGUUACUAUAAGCACUGUGACGCAAAUAUGGGAAUAUUUUUUCUGUUCAGUUUGUGUAUGUCGACUUAAUAAACUUAAAAAAUGUUUGCAAAUGUAUGUUUUACUAGGGUAUUUUAUUGUUUGUGUAGGUAAAUAUUAAUAUAGUUAUGAAGGGUUCACUACCGAAACAUUGUUAUUCAUUACCGAGAUAUGUUUUUUCAUUACCGCUAUGUCAACUUUAUGAGGAUUUAUUUAGAUUAGUUAUAUGAAUUACUUUUAUAUUUUUAUCCCUUCAUGAAAUGUGCCAGACCUUUUAUACUAUGGUUGUAUUAUUUUUUCAAUGUAAUGAUUUGAUACAAAAUCACAAUCAAAAUUGACUUUGAAAUUUGCAUAACUGUUACGGUGAUGAAAUGAUUUUUUGCAGUAAAAUAAAACGUUUUUUUUAAAAAUGCCUAUUUUUGUUUAUAUCUGUCUCUCUGUGCACACUGAAGUCCUUGGUGUCCAAAAAA